GAGUUUGAUCAUGGCUCAGAACGAACGCUGAUGGCGUGCCUCAUACAUGCAAGUCGAGCGGGUAGCAAUACCAGCGGCGAACGGGUGAGUAACGCGUGAACAAUCUGCCUCAAAGUGGGGGAUAACCAUUCCAACGGAUGGCUAAUACCGCAUAGGGUUUGGAAGCGGCAUCGCUUCUUCACGAAAGCAUUUAUGCGCUUUGAGAUGAGUUCGCGUCCCAUUAGCUAGUUGGCGGGGUAACGGCCCACCAAGGCGACGAUGGGUAGCCGGCCUGAGAGGGUGUCCGGCCACAUUGGGACUGAGAUACGGCCCAGACUCCUACGGGAGGCAGCAGUAGGGAAUUUUGCGCAAUGGGGGAAGCCCUGACGCAGCAACGCCAUGUGUGGGAUGAAGCAUUUUCGGUGUGUAAACCACUGUCGGCAGGGAAUAAAGCCCGCGUUUACGCGGGGUGAAUGUACCUGCAGAGGAAGCCCCGGCUAACUUCGUGCCAGCCGCCGCAGUAAC
rnacentral:rRNA from 1 species